ensembl:lncRNA
GGGAGUGGCCAGGAUGUGAGGUGUCUUUUAUGAUGUUUUGGGCCUUUUUUAAAACAGUGGGCGUUGUUUGACUCUUUACUAACUUUAAAACCCCACCAUAACAAUUUCUCACUGACAAACUUCUAUGCAUCCAUUUAAACAUGCGAAGCCAGCACAAAAUCACACACAUACCCCUACAGCAAAGCUUUAACAUAACCACAAUGCAACUCCUCCCUUAAACGGGAGAAAUCACCCUGAAUCAACCAACUCUAUAUAAAACGUCAAACAAAGAUAAACCACAAACAUUUCUACACUUCUGUGUCUUCCACGCAGCACAAUAGGCAGAAAAACACCGAUUACUCACAGUCUACAACAAAAGAAAAACCUGCUCUUUUCACAACUUUCACAGCUAAAGUCAAAACUCUUACCCAGUGCCUCUGAAAUAAUAAAAAAAAAUCACCAAAUACUCGAUUACUCUUUUCACUCGCUCCCUCUCACUCCCUUCUUCCUCAUACAGCAUACACGCUCGCUCCCGCGGACCCGCUCGGCCCCGCGGGCUCACUCGGCCCCCACCUUUUUUCUCUCACAGAGACAGAGAGAGACCCUUUUCCUUUUUUUUUUUUUUUUUUUUUACUUCGGUCUAUCUGCACAGAGUUUACCUCAUCUCUUUCCUUCUAUGGGCAUGCACACUUCCUGUCUCACACACACAGCCCCUCUCUCAGAGAGAGCAGAAAAGAGUUUUUCCUUUUUUCAACACUCAGGAGAAAUUCAACAGACAGUUUAUACCACUAUUUUACACUUUAUUUACACACACCGGUAAUUUAUGUUCUAUUUACACACGGGCCCGCAUAGACAUAUGCCAGAAGAGGUUACCCCUAACUUUUUGACUAAUUUAAAAGCAUCUUUCAGCUGUUUUCCUCAAUGACUCUUUCUGCUUUUUUGCUUCUUUAGGCUGGUGUGUGGAGUUGAUGACUGUCUCAACACAUGUUAAUUGUUCUCCCAAUGUGCUAAGAAUAACACCGGGACCCCAACCAUCAUCAUUAGUUUCUCGAUCUAAUUCUCCAUCCAUUUUACUGUCAAUGGAGGAGUGUUCUUUUAUUGAUUUUAAAGGAGAAUUUGGGCCAGCUGGGUUUCUGCCUCUGUUAGGCACUAAUCAGCUGGGGCGCUGCUUUAAAGGUGAGUCAGCACUGAAAUAUCCCUUCAGGUGUUACCAAGCUUCUACCAAACCGGAGUCUGGCGGGUAACCUUGCCUAGAGCUUCCUGAUAGGGGUGCUAGUUGGUUGUCACCUUGUUCACACGUCUCAUUCACACUUCAUACAUUACCUGCAGUCACUCAUUACCCUCCUUAUGUAUGUAAUAAAUGUGUAAAAAAAAAAAAAAAUUCUAUGUGUGGUGUAUUAUUUUAACCAAAAGAGGAACCUAGUUCCUUUAAUUGUGUAAUCUGUGAACAACGGAGAACCAAACUGUCCUGCCCAGUGUUCCACAGCAAGCAUUCAGCGUGUAUUUAUGUGUGUCCAAUAUCAAACAGAACAUCAAAACAUUUAAAACACUAAAAUCAUCGGGGUUUUAAGAAGAGAUCCGUUUUCUCCUAUUGAUCAAAG